rnacentral:lncRNA from 1 species
AAAAAUAUAUUUCAAAUAAUGAAAAUAUAACAACAAAAUUAUUCUUCAUCGUCAUUUUCUUCUCCCAUGUUGUCCGGCGCUGUUUCAAAUGGAACAAGAGAGCACCGUAUGGAUAAUUGAAGUGGUCAAAAUACCCAUGGAUUUCGACACUAAGUCUUCGCACAAUUCUUUGUGUGCUAGACACAAUUUAAUCAAUUUGAUUGAUUGAAAUUGAUGGAGAAACAAGAUGAUCAAAGAAGUUUGAGAUACAUCUCGUUGAGCAUGAGGACGACGAGCUUGAGUUUGGAGGAGGAGGAUUUGGAAUUUGAUCAUAUUAUUGAUUAUACACAAAAGAGGUCUCUUGAAUUUUUCAAUGUUUGGUAUGAGUUUUCUUAAAACCAACAUUGGUAUGAGAUGCUUCGAGUAUUCCUUCGACAUGGUCUAAUAAUCGAUGUCUUGUCCAUCACGAGGAAAAUUUGUGAUGGUUUGAAUAUUUUCUUAAGAAGAAUAGGAAUACUAUUAAUACGAGUAGAAAGGACUCUACUUUCAUCUUUCUUAAGAUUCGAAUAAGAUGCUUGAAUCAAAAGAGAAGGAAUGAAAUCAUACUUCAAAUAAAUAAGGUUAAGAGUCGAACUUUGGAGAAGUACAUUGGAAUGGAAAAAUCCGCGAGAAAUCUAGCGGUUGUGAAUCGAGGUGAAAGAAUGACUCGAUUUUCAAAUAUUUGAACAGUAAACGUUGAAGUUCGAUUUUAUGUUCGAAUCAAAGAGCCG